rnacentral:rRNA from 1 species
ACAGUUGGCUUCUAAUAAAAAGAAUAAUGUUUUAUUUACAAUAGUAAUGUAUUAGAUAUGUAAAUAUAUUAUUUCAUCAUUAUUAUGAUGGUAAGUAUAUAAAGAAACUAUUACGGAUAAAUAAGCUAUAUAUUAAAGACGUAUAAAAAGUGUUCUUGGAAAAAUCCAUUUUGUAAACGGAGCGAAUUGAAAUAUCUUAGUAGCUUCAGGAAUAAAAAUCAAAUGAGAUUCCGUAAUUAGCUAUAACUGUUAUGGAAAAGCCUUUAAAGUAAAACGGAAAUAAUCUGUUUGAAUUUAGGGAAACCUUUCUCUAAGGCUAAAUAUGAUAUAUAAGCGAUAGUGAAGCAGUACCGUGAGGGAAAUUUUUGAAAUAGUAGUUUUAUAAGCAGCUCAAGUUUAAUUUAAAAGUAUAAUGAGAGCGUACCUUUUGCAUAAUGGGUCAGCAAGUUAAUAUUAGAUGCGAGAAAAAGAGUACAGAAAAGAUUAGGAAGUAAAACUUAAUAUAUUUUUAGUUUAAUGCUAAAAAUUAAAAAGAGAAUGAAAACGAAAUGAGUAAGGUAAUUAACUCUUAUUCCUAGAUAAACCGAUUAUUAAUUAAUGAUUAAGUAUCUAAUAUUAGACCCGAAGCCUAGUGAUCUUACCAUGAUCAGGGUUAUAAAGGCCUGAACGGGUUAUCGUUGUAAAGAUAUCCGAUGAAUUGUGGUAAGUUAGUGAAAGACAAAACUGACUAGGAUAGCUGGUUUUCUGCGAAACCUAUAUAAGUAGGUAAUGUGAAUUACAUCAUAGCAGGUACAGAACUGUGAUCUCGGACAAGGUAUGUUGUUUUCUUAGCGCUUUGCUCGCAAAGCGCUAAGGAUGAUGGCAUGGUUUUUGUAUACAUCGGGGAAUCCCGAAGAUUUUAUCGGCGAGAAUUUGCUCUCGAAAGGGCAAUGAUGGAUUUUGCAUAAUCGGACAUAGUACGAUAAGGUUGUAUGUCUAAAGGGAAACAGCCCAGAACAAGAGUUAAAGGUUCCAAAAUUAUUGUUAAGUGAAAAUAAGGAAGUUUUCUUCAAAUACAACCAGGAAAUAGGCUUAGAAGCGGCCAUUUUUUGAAGACCUCGUAACAGAGCACUGGUUUAACAUUAAAAGUUGAAAGCACCGAAAAUUUAACGGAUCUAAAACAAUAUACCGAAACCUUGUCUAUAAAUAAACCUAUUUUAAGAUUUAUACCAAAUUAUUAUCUUAAGUAUUUUUAUUUAUGGGGUAGCAGAACGUUGGGCAUGUCUUAGACUUAAUGUUUUUAAUAUUAAGUAGGUUAACUCGAUUGUUUAUUAUCUAAACCAAGUAGGUUAAGCACUUAUUUGUUAGGGGUGGUAUAAUGACUUGUUAACAAGAUGACCCCAAGUGAGAAUGCUGGCAUGAGUAACGAAAAAGGGAUAGCCCCUCGCCUUAAGCUUAUGGUAUUUAAAUAAAGUAACGGCCUCUAAGUUUUGUCCUAAAGGAUUAAACGAUGAGAAAAAUCUUCAGGUAUGUCUAACAACAUUGAAAAUUUAAAGACUAGCUUCGUGUAAAAAAAAAAUCAGCACGUUGUGAUGUGUGAGUAAACAGUGUUCUGGAAAAAGGCGACCAAUAUUUAUGAUCGUAACAAUCAACGGUCAGGUCUAACAAAGAUAUAAAUAGUAAAUAACCGUACCUAGAUACUACCACAAGUAAGCAAGUAGAGUAUACAAAGGCGUUUGAGUUAACAAUCAUUAAGGAACUCGGCAAAAUGACACCGUAACUUAGGGAUAAGGUGUGCCAUCCUUAUCGAUGAAUAUAAGAUAAGGAGAGGAGACAUAAAAUGGCGUUGUACGACUGUUUAAUUAAAACAAAGCACUUUGCAUAAGAUGACAAAUCAAAGUAUUGAGUGUGAAUUCUGCCCGAUGUUGGCUGGUUAACGGAUUUUCUUAGCUGACUAAAAUAAGCUAGGUUUUGAAGGAAACCCCAAUCAAUGGCGGCCUUAUCGAUGAGGGUCCUAAGGUAGCGGAAUACCUUGGCCGUUAAAUGCGGUCUUGCAUGAAUGAUUUAACGAUACAACAGCUGUCUCAAUGAUUGGCUCAGUGAAAUUGGAAUAACUGUGCAGAUACAGUUUACCUCUAGUUAGACGAGAAGACCCUAUGCAGCUUUACUGUUUGUAGUUAUUGAAUACAAUGGGACAAGUAGUAGCGUAUAAGGUAGUUGAAAAGAUACAAUUGAAACACCUUUACUUAGUUUAUUGUAUUAGUAGCCAACUAGGAAGAGUGGAAGGUAAGUAUUGUUAAGACGCAUAAUCGUAUAAUUGUUAAGACGCAUUAUCGCAGAAUCGUUAAGACGUAUUAUCGCAGAAUCGUUUAAGAUUUAAGUGGAAGGGGUUUUGUAGUAUUAUAUAGUGGUUGGAUAAAAAAAAGAAACUUGGUAAUCCACUAUCACCUUACUAUAGACAUAUUACAUGCUUUUUCAAAUACACAAAACACUUAGGUUGUAUAUGAGGAUAGCAUUAUGUUGAGGCAAUACUUGCUCUGGAAUUAAUAGUAAGCAGAAAAACUACAAAGCUUAUCCUAUAAAAGAUAUUAAACGCACCACAAAAGGAUGCGUUUUAUAUUUGGAAACAUUUGCUAUUAGACAGUUUAUGCGGGGCACAGAUCCCACAAAAAGUACCUGGGUGUAUCCAAAGUUAAUUUUGUAAAUUUAUUGGCAAUAAAAUUUGUCAAUAUAUAAAUAUAUUAUAUAGCAAAAGCUUUUGCUUUUACUUGUAUAAUGUAUUUUUUUAUUUUAAUCUGUAAUGUAUUGCUAUCAAUAUAUUCAGUUAUUUAUCUAUUAAGUUAGAUUUAUUUAUUUUUUUUAAGUAAGAUUUUACCUAUAUGGAAAAUAGUAGUAAAUAAAACCCUAACAAUAGUAGGGUUUUAAUUUGUUUUCUUAAUAUGCUAACCCUUUUGGAAGGUAUUAAGAAAAUGAUUAUUAUUUUACUUUAAAAGUUUAAUGGCUUAAUCUUGCUUUACUGUUUGACUUACACGUCUAUCAGUUGCGUAAGCAGGGCAUAUGAUCACAAGAUGCAUAAAGGAAAGGUCUUGGAUUUUUGAAAAAGCUACGCUAGGGAUAACAGGCUAAUUGCGCCAGAGAGUACAAAUUGAGUGCGCAGUUUGGCACCUCGAUGUCGGCUUAGCUCAUCCACAUGAAUGCAGAAAUCAUGAAGGGUACGACUGUUCGUCGAUUAAAGAGCUACACGAGCUGGGUUAAAUACGUCGUGAGACAGUAUGGUUUCUAUCUUCUAGAGGAAAUUAGAGUAAAAUAAGGAUAUGCCCUUCGUACGAAAGGAGUUGGGUAUGGUAACCUCUGGUUUACCUGUUGUUUAUGAAUUAAUAUAUUCUGUGUUAUUUUUAGCAGUUAUUAUCAGUAAUACUAGAGUAGCUUAUCUGCGAUUUGCGCUUUAGGUUAAAAGUACCACUAAAUAAUCUACAGAUACUCAUGUACAGAUAUAUCAUAGGCACGGCAGGAAACCCACGUUAGUUAUAGAUAAGUGCUGAAAGCAUAUAGGCGCGAAGCAUAUCUUAAGAUACUCUUAAAUAUACGUGGUAGAAUACCACGAGUAUUAGUGUAAGCGCGAAGCGUUAUACAUUAAUACUGUAUAGGCUUUUGCUUUAAGGAUUUUAAUGUCUUCAGGUAAAAAGUACUAAUU